GAUGAAGAACGUAGCGAAAUGCGAUAACUAGUGUGAAUUGCAGAAUUCCGUGAAUCAUCGAGUCUUUGAACGCACAUUGCGCCCCCUGGUAUUCCGGGGGGCAUGCCUGUCCGAGCGUCAUUGCUGCCCAUCAAGCACGGCUUGUGUGUUGGGUCGUCGUCCCCCCCUCCGGGGGGGGACGGGCCCUAAAGGCAGCGGUGGCACCGCGUCCGAUCCUCGAGCGUAUGGGGCUUUGUCACCCGCUCUGUAGGCCCGGCCGGCGCUUGCCGAACGCAAAACAACCAUUCUUUCCAGGUUGACCUCGGAUCAGGUAGGGAUACCCGCUGAACUUAAGCAUAUCAAUAAGCGGAGGA
rnacentral:misc_RNA from 1 species